AAAGCGGUAGCUCAGUUGGUUAGAGCAGGAUGUUCCAUACCUUUUGUCGUGUUCGUCGCCGGUCCAUCUAUGCAAAGAGCAAGUAGCAACACAACGCGCGAAUGCGCCAGAAACUACAUGUGUCGCGGGUUCGAAUCCCGCCCGCU
rnacentral:tRNA from 1 species